GAUGAACGCUGGCGGCGUGCCUAAUACAUGCAAGUCGAGCGAACAGACGAGGAGCUUGCCCCUCUGACGUUAGCGGCGGACGGGUGAGUAACACGUGGAUAACCUACCUAUAAGACUGGGAUAACUUCGGGAAACCGGAGCUAAUCCCGGAUAAUAUAUUGAACCGCAUGGUUCAAUAGUGAAAGACGGUUUUGCUGUCACUUAUUGAUGGAUCCGCGCCGCAUUAGCUAGUUGGUAAGGUAACGGCUUACCAAGGCGACGAUGCGUAGCCGACCUGGGAGGGGGAUCGGCCACACGGGAACUGGGACACGGCCCAGACUCCUACGGGAGGCAGCAGUAGGGAACCUUCCGCAAUGGGCGAAAGCCUGCCGGAGCAACGCCGCUUGAGUGAUGAAGGUCUUCGGAUCGUAAAACUCUUUUAUUAGGGAAGAACAAAUGUGUAAGUAACUAUGCACGUCGUGACGGUACCUAAUCAGAAAGCCACGGCUAACUACGUG
rnacentral:rRNA from 1 species